UAUGUCUUCGGAUAUAGAGACCGGCGCACGGGUGCGUAACGCGUAUGCAAUCUACCUUUUACAGAGGGAUAGCCCAGAGAAAUUUGGAUUAAUACCUCAUAGUAUAGCUCUACCGCAUGGUAGUACUAUUAAAGUCACAACGGUAAAAGAUGAGCAUGCGUCCCAUUAGCUAGUUGGUAAGGUAACGGCUUACCAAGGCAACGAUGGGUAGGGGUCCUGAGAGGGAGAUCCCCCACACUGGUACUGAGACACGGACCAGACUCCUACGGGAGGCAGCAGUGAGGAAUAUUGGACAAUGGGCGCAAGCCUGAUCCAGCCAUGCCGCGUGCAGGAUGACGGUCCUAUGGAUUGUAAACUGCUUUUGUACGAGAAGAAACACUGCUUCGUGAAGCAGCUUGACGGUAUCGUAAGAAUAAGGAUCGGCUAACUCCGUGCCAGCAGCCGCGGUAAUACGGAGGAUCCAAGCGUUAUCCGGAAUCAUUGGGUUUAAAGGGUCCGUAGGCGGUUUAGUAAGUCAGUGGUGAAAGCCCAUCGCUCAACGGUGGAACGGCCAUUGAUACUGCUGAACUUGAAUUAUUAGGAAGUAACUAGAAUAUGUAGUGUAGCGGUGAAAUGCUUAGAGAUUACAUGGAAUACCAAUUGCGAAGGCAGGUUACUACUAAUUGAUUGACGCUGAUGGA
rnacentral:rRNA from 1 species